GUGUCUUGCAGUUGCUCUUCUCGAGGAGUAUGUCUGUGGUGUUGUCUGUAUUUCCUGAAUUUGAAUGUUGGCCUGCCUCGCUAGGUUGGGGAGGUUCUCCUGGAUAAUAUCCUGCAGAGUGUUUUCCACCUUGUUUCCAUUCUCCCCAUCACUUUCAGGUACACCAGUCAGACGUAGAUUUGGUCUUUUCACAUAGUCCCAUAGUUCUUGGAGGCUUUGCUCCUUUCUUUUUACUCUUUUUUCUCUAAACGUCUCUUCUCAUUUCUUAGACAAAUGGCUAACUACAAUAACCAGUGUAGAGAAGUCCUUAAAUGACCUGACGGAGCUGAAAACCAUGGUAUGAGAACUACAUGACAAAUGCACAAGCUUCAGUAGCCGAUUCAUUCAACUGGAAGAAAGGAUAUCAGUGACUGAAGAUCAAAUGAAUGAAAUGAACAAUCCUCCCCUCAUCCAUGGUUUCAUUUUCUAUGGUUCCAGUUACUCAUGGUCAACCAUGGUCAGAAAACAGGUGCUAGUUCUGUGAUAGCAGGCGAGUUCUCGUGAGAUCUCAUCAUUGAAAAGUGUGUGGCACCUCCCCCAACCUUGGUCCUGCUCCUGUAACAUGUAAGACACCUGCUCCUGCUUUGCCUUCUGCCAGGAGUAAAAGCUCCCCUAGGCCUCCUACAAGGCAGAUGCUGCCAUGCUUCUUGCACAACCUGUGGAACCAUAAGCCAAUUAAACCUCUUUUCUUCACCCAGUCUCAGGACAAACUGAGAGUAAAAGAUGCAGGAAUAAAACACAGAAAUCAAAAUAAAGGGUUUACUGCUGAAAAAUCCGCUUGAACAAGCCUGUUAAUGUGAUCUUCCUGAAUGAAGCCAGCUUACCCCUAGGCCUCCACUGUCCCUCAGGAAAGAGAACACGAAAACUGGAACUCUCUGCAGAAAGGAGGAUCCCAAAGAAGGGGCCAAGCUGUACAUUUAUCAAUCAGGAAAGCCACUCCACCCUCCAUGGCAGCCCCUACAAUUUGAAACAAGUAUUCUUCCUAACAUAACACAUUAAUUCAUGAGUUUAUCAGUUCAUUUCAUUUUUACUUUGAGAUUUUUGUGAAUAACCAUAGAAAAAUCUAUUUCACCUGGCAAUAAAUAGGAAAAGGCACAGCAUAAUGUUUAAAUACAGAGAAUAUUGUUACAUGUAAGAUGUUGAUUGAAUGUUCUAAAUACAAUUUGAAAACUGCGUGAGAGGAGGAAAACGUAUAUUCAGAAGGACUUAGGUGAAUCCAGAUGAAUAUUUUCAUGACAGGAUGUUGGCUAUUGAUAUGAAGAAAGUAGAGGAAUAGACUUGCUAAAAGUUAGAGGAGUCUAGUUUAUCUUCCAAGAAGCUUUGCAACCCUGUAAUACUGUAGAAAUCACAAAUUUGGCAAUAAUUUUAAGAUAAUUUAUGUUCAUUUUUUAUGGAAUGCCAUGUUUAUCUUUUUAUAUAUGACAUUUUCUGGUCAGUAGUAAUAUAUAUAUCCUUUAUUAAAAUUGGAAAAUAAAUACAAACAUUUUAUUUAUUUAUUGGUUAAAAAAUUAUUAUGCUCAUUCUUUUUUUUUUUAACCAGUAAGGAUCUGGAUAAAGAAAAACAUUUUAGAAAACCACUUGUAGAGUACCAUGAACCAGUCUCUCUUCUCCAUUUUAAAAAAUUUAUUGACUCACUUUUUUUCCAUAACUUUUUGAGAUAUUAUUUCAACCACUUUGCAUUUAGAGAAAAAGAGUCAGAGAGUGAUUAAGAAAUCUGCCCAAUGCUAUACUGAUAGAAGCUGGGAGAACUGGGAUUUGAGCUUACAUAGGCUAGUUCUAGCAUUUGUGAAGUUCUCGCCUAAUAAAAAUUAUCUGUAAUCAUAACCAGAGCAAGUCAUUUCUAACCUCCUGUCUAUAGACACGCGGAUACAUUUGUAAUGUUUUUGUUUGUUUGUUUUUAGCACGACAGAUCAAUUCCUGCUGGCAUUAUAGUUCUUUAACUAUCAUAGCUUCUCUGAUUUUUCAACACAUCUGUCAUCCGUAUUCUGCAGGCAUAGCCAACUCUGUCAGUGUCUCCUCAGGCAAUCAGAAUCAACAGACAGAAUGUAGGACAGAAAACUGGCUGCAAACAUGUUGGAAGGGCUGGAGGAGCGAAAGAGGGAAGAUCUGUUACCUAGAGAUAGUAACUUCCAGAAGUUACCACUAUACUAGUGCAGGAGAAGCAGAAAGGAAGAUGCUGCUACCCAGAGCCCACAGUCAUUGUGCCCCUGAUGCCGCUGGAACCCCACUGCAGCUGCUUUACAGGAAGCAGGGAAUUAGCGCUCUUGCUGAUGCUACAGGUAUCCAGGAUCCAAAAGUCAUCAGCCGCUGUCCCUGUUGCAGCCUAGGGAAACUGUCCCACUGAGGUUGUUGGGGUACCUGCUACUGCAUCUACUGUCUGAACCAUGUUGCCUGAGCAGAUGUCCAGGGCUCAGGCUUGCCUGCUGCUGUUACUGCUGCCACCAUGUUUAUCAGAGCUACUUCAAGAAGAGAAGAAAUCCUCCUCAUUUCCAGUUUUUUCCAGUGCCUCCCAUUGCUUCCCAGAAUGCCAAAUUCUCUUUGAGAGACAGCUGAAAGGAAGGUUUGGAAAAGACUCUGGUGUAAGCAGAUUCUGCUUCCCUGCAAUAGGGGGAAAGCAUAGGGUGGAACUGGAGCUGAGAGCUAAUCACGAAUGAGCAAAUCAGUCUUCAAGACAUUUACCUUUCCUUGAAACGUUUCCCUUCUUUUACCGUGUUUUCCAUGUCAUUAUUUUUCCACAAUUCUGCAUCAUAUUCUGUUAACUAUUAAUGCCCUGGAUAAGUUUAUUUGCUCUUUCUUAGGGUUAAUUUUUCUCCUUUUCUUCGAAGCUUUAGUUUGCAGGUUCAGCUUGUGUGGGAAUUUUCAUCUCCCUCCUCUUCAAGACUCCUUGGAUAUCAGUUUUUUGGUUGCCUUCACCAACUCUCCCCCCACCAUCUCUAGACCAGGGCAUGGUCUUAGUUGGUGGCUUGGACUCCUGUGGCUUGGAGUCUUUGGGGAUAUUAGAGAUCCAGUCACUGAGCUGGCAAAGGGAACACUGUCCUUGCUUCCAGCUUUAUGAAGAACGCUUUGCUCUGUCACCCCACGUGAGUCCAACUCUUGGCUGCCUACACUGCCUGAGGCUUCAGUUCUGGCAUCGUGCUGCAUGUGAUCUAUUAUCCUGCUUUUGAAUAUGCCUAUGACUUUUCUUUAUAUAUUUUUAAAAAUGUUAUUAUUGGUAUGUUUACAGUGAAGGGAAGAAUGUGAAGCAUGAACUCAAGAGUCACAGUAAUGAUAAAUUUUAAUGAUUGUAAUUGUCCUAUCUGUCAUAAUACAUUUAUUUUGUUGAUUUGUUUGGAUUUUCUAGGUAAAUAAUCAUGUUAUUCAAGGAUAAUGAAUGCAGCCACCAUGUAAUCAUCACUGACUCCAUGAGACAGCGUCUCUCACUGUCACCUAGGCUGGAGUGCAGUAGCAUGAUCAUAGCUCACUGCAGCCUUGGACUUCUGGGCUCAAGCUGUUCUCCCCUCUCAGCCUCUCAAGUAGCUAGGUCUGUGAGCAAAUGCUACCACGCCCAGGCCAUGAGAAAAGAGACCUAAGAAAUGAUGCCCAUCCAGAAGAGUGAAGACUUCCUGAAAAUGUUCUUUUAACCUAAGAUGUAGGUUAAGAGGAGUGAAAAAAUGUUCUGUUUCUGACUGAUGAUGGAGCAACAAAGGUAUGUUUCUUAUUAAUAACACUGAGCAGUUAGGAAGCAGAUGUGCCUCUCCAGGGAAACUCACAAGUGUCCACUGACCUAGUAUCUGCGGAGAACCAUAGCAGUUGUGGUCUCUCUCCCCAGCUUCAAGCAAGGGCAACUUUUCCCUGUGUCUGGUUCUUUUGCUGUCACCUGAAGCCACAGAAAAUGAUCUGAACCUGCUCAGUCCCUGGACAUAUCUGGGGAAUACAAAGUCUCAGAGUCGCUCUCUAAGAAUUGCCAGCAUGUUCUAGAGAUUCUUUAGAUGCAUAGCUGCAUGGAGCAAAACAGGGUCAGGGGAUGUGUGCCGAGGCCAAGGUCUUCUCUUAUGUUUCAAAAAUAUUAACAUUUCAGGCCUGUCUUCUUUUAAAGGAUAGCUCAUGUAUAUGAUUUUUUAAAAAAAAAUCUACCAAAUCAAAUAAAGAAGUCCUGGGAGUUCACCCGGUGUUUUCUACAGAACCAAGGUAUUCAUAUUGAGAUCCUUCAAUAUAAUCAGCUAUGUGACCUUGGUUAAGUUAAUUAAUGCCUCUGAAACUGAGGUUCCUCAUCUGUGAAAUGGAGAUAUUCAACAAAGCACCCUGUGGGGAUUAGAUGAGAUUGCACAUCUGACUGCCUAGAGUAUAGUAAGGGGUCACUGUUUCCUCUUCACUCCUCAGGAAAAUUUGAUUGAACAAGGAUAGAAACUUUGAUUCUAGGGACAGAAGGUCUUCAGAAGUCUUUGAGGCCAGAGGGCCUGUCAUAGAACUGCAGUGUAGGUUCAUUAAAACGCUGUCAUCCUAAUGUUUAUCCACAGUAUCUAAUAGAUUUAAAAGGAAGACAAUAUGGCACAGACUAUUUCGGAAACCUAUGCCCAUUCUGCCAAGAGGAUAUCGCUAUUGGUGGUCAGACUAUUUCACUUAUAAGGUUUCUUUUUUCCUUAAGUCAUAAAGAUUAACAUUUACUAAAAAUUUGAGGGUCCAUUAAUGGACUCCCACAUGGCUUUCCUCUUUCCUUUGAGCUGGAUUCAUUUUCACUGAGUCCCGAGUCCUGCACAUCUGACAAUUGCUUCAGACCUUGGACAUGCUUGAAUUAUUUUAUGCAAAUCAUUUGAAAAGGCAAAGUACCACUGUUCUUUCUUGAGUUUCUUCGUAAACUGGUUUCUAAUUUAUCUGCUGCUUUUUCUCGAUCCAAUUUGUGCCUAUGUCUUACUAUAGAUUCUUUGGAAAUAAAGAAAUAAAGAAUAUAUCUGUAGCUAUUUUGUUAAACUAAGAAUGUUUUAAAAUAUUUUAUUGUAAAA
rnacentral:lncRNA from 1 species